AAGACAACAAAAUGACAGCUCAACUUGCGCAGCAAGGCAAUGGACUAAUCGCACCACUCACAAAAUAAGCUUACAAGCUACUCGAUAAGGAAUCACCAAUCCCAUCUGUUCCUCGCAAUUCAGCUCAUCAAGAGGGCAGUAGGGGUGCUGCAGCAACAAUGGCUUCCAUGAAGCACAAAGAAAUAACAACGAAGUAGUCAACCAACCAAGGCAACACAGCCAAGGACUGAGCAAACACGAAGCUCCAGUGCAACAAAAAGAUGUUGGAGAGGUCAGCUGCACUAAUUCCGCAAAAAGUCCUCGCCAUAUCAAGAAAAAUCAUGAAGUAUCAAAUUUCAGCGAUCUACGGGAAAUAAUCAAUAGUCGCCACGAACACGAAGUUGACAACUACAAUCACUUUCCCGCCUUCACAACUC
rnacentral:lncRNA from 1 species